CACGUAGGGGGCGAGCGUUGUCCGGAUCUAUUGGGCGUAAAGAGCUCGUAGGCGGUUUCGUAAGUCGGAUGUGAAAACUCCAGGCUCAACUUGGAGACGCCAUUCGAUACUGCGAUGUCUUGAGUCCGGUAGGGGAGUGUGGAAUUCCUGGUGUAGCGGUGAAAUGCGCAGAUAUCAGGAGGAACACCGGCGGCGAAGGCGGCACUCUGGGCCGGUACUGACGCUGAGGAGCGAAAGCGUGGGUAGCAAACAGG
rnacentral:rRNA from 1 species